AACGAACGCUGGCGGCAGGCUUAACACAUGCAAGUCGAACGCCCCGCAAGGGGAGUGGCAGACGGGUGAGUAACGCGUGGGAAUCUACCGUACCCUACGGAACAACAGUUGGAAACGACUGCUAAUAACGUAUACGCCCUACGGGGGAAAGAUUUAUCGGGGUAUGAUGAGCCCGCGUUGGAUUAGCUAGUUGGUGGGGUAAAGGCCUACCAAGGCGGCGAUCCAUAGCUGGUCUGAGAGGAUGAUCAGCCACAUUGGGACUGAGACACGGCCCAAACUCCUACGGGAGGCAGCAGUGGGGAAUAUUGGACAAUGGGCGCAAGCCUGAUCCAGCCAUGCCGCGUGAGUGAUGAAGGUCUUAGGAUUGUAAAGCUCUUUCACCGAUGAAGAUAAUGACGGUAGUCGGAGAAGAAGCCCCGGCUAACUUCGUGCCAGCCGCCGCGGUAA
rnacentral:rRNA from 1 species